rnacentral:rRNA from 1 species
GAGGAAAGCUGGGGGCGUGCCUAAUACAUGCAAGUCGAGCGAACAGACGAGGUGCUUGCUCCUCUGACGUUAGCGGCGGACGGGUGAGUAACACGUGGAUAACCUACCUAUAAGACUGGGAUAACUUCGGGAAACCGGAGCUAAUACCGGAUAAAAUAUUGAACCGCAUGGUUCAAUAGUGAAAGACGGUUUUGCUGCACCUUAUAGAUGGAUCCGCGCCUCUUUAGCUAUUUGGUAAGGUAACGGCUUACCAAGGCAACGUAGCGAAGCCGACCUGGGAGGGGGUCGGGCACAUCGGGAACGGGAACACGGCCCAAACCCCUACGGGAGGCGGCGGAAGGGAAUCUUCCGCAAUGAGGAAAAGCCUGACGGGGCAACGCCGCGUGGUUAAUGAGGGUCUUCGAACCGUAAAACUCCGUUAUUAAGAAAAAACAAAUGUGGAAUUGACUAUGCACGUCUUGACGGUAACUAAUCAGAAAGCCACGGCUAACUACGUG